rnacentral:lncRNA from 1 species
GGAGCUACAUGUCAUCCUCUCAAGUAGCUGGGACUAUAGUCCACAGAUUUACAACUUGAGGUGGCCUGCACCAGACCCACGGGGCAAUAACAGUCUUCCAUUGAAUUCUUUAGCAGUUUCUACAAUUGCAUAAGAUCCUAGCUGGCUCAAGAGUCUUCUUGCCUCUGCUGCAGCAAUUACUUGGCUUGGUGUGUAGAUGUCUGAAUGCCAUGAAGUUUAGAGAGGAAAAGAUGACAAGAGCAAAGUAAACAAACAAGAAAGGCCGUGGAUCUUGGUUGAUGCCAACAGAUGCCGUGUCGUGAAGAUGCUCUGAAGGAAAGACGUUGACGGGGUCUCCUCACUCUCCUGGGCCCUUCUGACUAGUGACUGUCUUCUCACUGCUGCUGCUACCAGUGCCCAGUUUGUUGCCUGAAGCCAAAAGCUGAAAGCUCACAUAAUCUUUUGAAG